rnacentral:rRNA from 1 species
ACGGAAGGCAGCAGUGAGGAAUAUUGGUCAAUGGGCGGAAGCCUGAACUAGCCAAGUCGCGUGGAGGAUGAAGGUAUUAUGUAUUGUAAACUUCUUUAGCUGUGGAGCAACAAUCGCCUCGCAUGGUGAGAUGAGAGUACCCUGAGAAUAAGCAUCGGCUAACUCCGUGCCAGCAGCCGCGGUAAUACGGAGGAUCCGAGCGUUAUCCGGAUUUAUUGGGUUUAAAGGGUGCGCAGGCGGCUUUUUAAGUCAGUGGUUAAAUAGCGGGGCUCAACCCCGUCCCGCCAUUGAUACUGGAGAGCUUGAUUGCGGUCGAGGUUUGCGGAAUUCGUCGUGUAGCGGUGAAAUGCAUAGAUAUGACGAAGAACACCGAUUGCGUAGACAGCAGACCAGGCCGUAAAUGACGCUCAUGCACGAAAGUGCGGGGAUCGAACAGGAUUAGAUACCCUGGUA